UACGUAGGGGGCAAGCGUUAUCCGGAUUUACUGGGUGUAAAGGGAGCGUAGACGGCAUGGCAAGUCAGAUGUGAAAGCCCGGGGCUCAACCCCGGGACUGCACUUGAAACUGUCAGGCUGGAGUGCAGGAGAGGUAAGCGGAAUUCCUAGUGUAGCGGUGAAAUGCGUAGAUAUUAGGAGGAACACCAGUGGCGAAGGCGGCUUACUGGACUGUAACUGACGUUGAGGCUCGAAAGCGUGGGGAGCAAACAGG
rnacentral:rRNA from 1 species